UAAUAUUGUAUUGCAGAGAAUCAUCGAUUUUAAUCAACUUAAUUCAAUGCAUAUUGUGCUUAUAUUAUGUCUAGGGUAGCAUGAGGAGAAAAUAAUAAAUACUCAAUCCUGGUAGCAAGUAAAGUAUAUUGUAAGAGUAUGAGGACACACACAAAUAUGUAACACAGACAACAUGUGAUUAAUUGCUAGAGGACAAAUAAAAUCCUAUGAGAAGAGCAGGGAGGAGCAAACUGAUCUGGAAGAAAAGAGGGACCGAGUCUUCCUUGUGCGGGCUGCUUGGCACAGGCUUCUGCACUUCUGAUCAGUUACUCCCUUACUGAAGAACUUUCACGUGUUCCCUGUUUCGUAUAAAUAGAGCCUAAACCCCUUCACGUGUCCUUCAAGACCCUUGUUUGCUGGGCUACAAUCCUCUAAGUGUGGAGUGAUCAACUCACCCCAAUUUUCCCAGAAGUUACCCAGUUUUGGUAUUGAAAGUAACUGCUUCUCUGGUGAACUCAUCAGCCCCAGGCAACCCAGGACAGAGAGUUCCUCUCAGUACACAUUUCGUGCUUAAUGAGGCCAACGUGAACUACUUUCUCGUUCCUCCAAACUUCCCCUUCUUUCUCCCUUCCAAGUUUUUCUUCUUGCCUCAUUGCCUUUCCCCAGCCUUGUAUUCAAAUACCGCUCUUUAAUUCGAGAAGCACAUUCAGUGUUUCCAUCACUAAGACUUGAUGAUGGUAUUACUUAUGUUGAUAUGAUUACUGCUAAUAUGAACGAACCUAUAUUGAAACAUUUGUAGCACUUUAACCAGAUUUGCACGUAUGACCUUCACUUUACCCACGAUUAUAUAGGUCCUACGAUUAUCCCUGUUUUACAGAAGAAUACACUGAGCCUCAGUGACAAUAUUAUAACUUCUCCAAAGUUAUCCAGCCAGGGAACAAAUGGCGAAGCUGAGACUAGACUCAGAGCACUGUAACACAAAACUCCAUGCUUCUAAUCAUGAUGGUGCACGUAGUCUUUUUUCCUACAGUCUUCCUAGGUGAAAUUAACACCGUCUUUAAAAUCAACGCUUCUUUGGCCCCUUCACAUUCUUCAUUUCACUAAGAACAUUGUACAUCUGACUUGUUUUGGCUCCCAUGGUAGGAUCUCUUGAUACCAGGAGCUAAGCCUUUUGGUACUUAAGUCCCCAGAGUAUCAAAGAGACACAGAAUAUAGGUCACCUGAGAGAGUAUGUGGAUGAAUGGAGGAGAUGUUAAAACUGAGCCUCAAAGGAAUUAAGUUUUAGGUGUGGGGAGUAUGCCAAGGCAAACGAAUAGUAAUAAUACUGCUAGAAGGAGCUAGCAUCUGGUGAACUGUCACCCUGCAUCAGACAGUAUGGUGUCUCAUUCUCAUAGGUAACCUAUGGAGGAAAGGCCUAUUACUAUCCUUGUUUUUCUGGUGGGGAAACUGAGGCUCAGAGAGAUGAGACCAGUCGCCCAAAGUUCCGUGGCUGGUUAACAGCAGAGACAGAUUUCAGUAUCAUCACUUUUAUGUAACUCCAUACCGAGAGCUGUGAAUUCUGCUCUAGACACGAGAGAGGAGAGGAAUUAUAGGGUACUACCAAGUCACCCGGUUUGGCAGGAACAGAGAGAAACAGCAUAAGGAGAGUGGUAAUAACAACGAGGAUGAUAAUGAUGGCUGUUCUUUGUUUUAUAAACCCUUCCCAUUGCUUGUCUCGUUUGAGGGUGGCAAUAUGGAUAGCUACCGUUUACUGAGGACUUUAUUUACAAAGCACUUUUCAUGGACCACCCAUCUCAUUUACGCCUCACAAGGACCUUUAAAUAGGCACUGUUAUUAUCUUCCUUUUGAAACAAAGUAAAUGAGGCUUAGACGUUGGGUGGCUCCCAAGGCUCGAUUCCUAGAAGAACGUCUUCUUCCAGUUUUGUAAACACCAUCAAACGAUGAUGAGAGCCACGCAUGCAAGCACACACCUGUUCCUGCGUGCCUUCCCCCUGUGGACCUUCCAAUCAAGCCUUUUAGGGAGGAUUCAACCUAAACCAGUUUCAGCCGGUAGCAUGCCGGGAAGCAGGCCCCAUCUCAGCCCUUCCUCCCAAGAUUCAGCUUUGGUAGUAAUUCAGCUCCUGCUUUGUGGGCGAGAGGAGUCCCCGGCCGCCCCCUCAGCGUCUUUCUCUUAUUGAUGUGGGGUUGCAUCGUGAAGGUGAUCUGCUAGACAGGAGAACACGGCUGUCCAGGUAUUGGUCACGGAGAACUCUGUGGUACUCAUUCUCAUGCUUUUGCUGGGAAGAAGAACACCAAGUGGCACGGGGUUCAUUCUUGCCUUUGCAUCUCAAAAGCUGUGUGCCUUUGGGAAAUACUUCAACAGAAGUGAAAUGACUCCAGAAGGAAAAAUUGGAACAUCAGCAACGGAGGGAAAGCAACAGAAAUAAACAAAGUGAGCUUUGUACAUUUGCUGGUGCCGUUUGUGGCAGAGGACUUUCUCGGAUUGCUCUGGAAUGAUGAAGAGGGUGUCUCUCGUCCAAGAACUGAAAUGAUACCUUCAGGUACUCGAAAUUCCAAAGGGUUCACAUGGAAUCACAAGUCAGCUGAAGGCUAACCGGUUACUGACGUGCCCUAACCUCGAGACAAAAGCGUCAGCACGGGACAUGAUGCUCAAAUUAUUCCUUUCCACCCUGCGGUCCUUCUGGUGAUGCUCCAAUUUUAGUAUACGUGAUGCUGACGUGAGCACGAUAAUCUUUUGGAUGUAGAGUUUCUUUUAAACUAAAUUUUGACCGUUUAAAGUGAAACACUAAUCAGAGGAUUGCAAAUGGAUUUUUUUUUUUAUGCAGAUGCUGACGCAGGUUUCUGGAGACUAUCUCUUAGAUCCUCAAAGUUGGAUGAUGUCUGCAACCACCUCCAGCUGGACAGGGUGGCAACAAAUGUCACUUGCUGAGCAAAAAGUGUGCUGGACACUGAAUGAGGCACGUCUGUUGGUAAUUGUAUCCAAUCCUCUCUCCCAAUAGCGUUAUUUUCUCCAUUGCAGAGAUGGGGAAACUGAGGCUGACUCUUGCACAAAGUCCUGGAUCUUCAUGUGGCUGGGUUAGGAUUCAAGCCCAGAUCUGUGUAUCUCCAAAGCCCAUGCUGUUAAUUUCCAUAAUGUAAUCCUUGGAAAAUGUGGCUAACAAUUCCUGUUCUUCUUUCCUCUUACGGUCCUUCUGAAGAUCAAAUAUAAUAACAUAUGUUAAAGUAAAGUCAUUUGUGGUGUGUACAGUGCCAUGUUUAAUCAUUCAAUCAGUAAUUAGUCUGAUCAUGUAAUUUCUCUAUCUAAAAUCUUCCAAAGGCUUUUGACUCACUCAGAGUUAAAGCCAGAAUCCUCGCAGCCAAUGAUCCAGCAGCCCCAUCACCUGUUGGAUCUCACUUCUUUCUACCUUCCUCUCAUUCAUUCUUUACCAACCACUCUAGCCUCUUUGACAUCCUCAAACACACAAGGCACACUCCUGCUGCAGGGCCUUUGCAUCUGCUGUUCCCUCUACCUAGAAGGCUUUUCCCUCACAUAUCCACAUGGCUUACUCUCUCAUUGUCCUUGGGUCUUGCUCAAAUUUUCAGUAAGACCUUCCUCAACCUCCCCAGGUAAAACUGCAACAUUUCUCA